rnacentral:rRNA from 1 species
GCUCCGCGGCCUAUCAGCUUGUUGGUGGGGUAGUGGCCUACCAAGGCGACGACGGGUAGCCGGCCUGGGAGGGCGACCGGCCACACUGGGACUGAGACACGGCCCAGACUCCUACGGGAGGCAGCAGUGGGGAAUAUUGCGCAAUGGGCGGAAGCCUGACGCAGCGACGCCGCGUGGGGGGUGACGGCCUUCGGGUUGUAAACCUCUUUCAGCAGGGACGAGGUUGACGUGUACCUGCAGAAGAAGCGCCGGCUAACUACGUGCCAGCAGCCGCGGUAAUACGUAGGGCGCAAGCGUUGUCCGGAAUUAUUGGGCGUAAAGAGCUCGUAGGUGGCUGGUCGCGUCUGCCGUGAAAGCCCGCAGCUUAACUGCGGGUCUGCGGUGGAUACGGGCCGGCUAGAGGUAGGUAGGGGCAAGUGGAAUUCCUGGUGUAGCGGUGAAAUGCGCAGAUAUCAGGAGGAACACUGGUGGCGAAGGCGGCUUGCUGGGCCUUACCUGACGCUGAGGAGCGAAAGCGUGGGGAGCGAACAGGAUUAGAUACCCUGGUAGUCCACGCUGUAAACGUUGGGCGCUAGGUGUGGGGAUCUUCCACGAUCUCCGUGCCGGAGCUAACGCAUUAAGCGCCCCGCCUGGGGAGUACGG